rnacentral:lncRNA from 1 species
UGAUGGAGCCGAAAACCUAUGGGGUUGCCUUAUGAUCAAUAGUAGCCGUGACAGGUGGUAAAGAUGGCUGAAAUCCAUUUGGGCCUUCUACUGAACACGAGACAGUGGAGUCUCGCUAGGGUAACCUAUAGUCAGCCUGGAUGCUCUGAUACCAUUCGAUGUGGCACCCUGCGUGAUUACCACUGUAGCCAGACGGUCGCCGCGCAUACCAGCCGAGGAAAUCACUCUGGCAUGCACGUUUACAACAAGUAUCAUUAACACAGGCAUUUCUAUUAAUGGAUAUAAUAUUCUUACAUGGUAUAUUACAAGGGUGGUGGCAGCGGAAAAGCUCAAUCUAAGGCAGCACGGUCUUGGUGCGGCUCCAAUCCACACGGAUCUGACUCGGUUACGCUCCUAGCCCGCAAACGCUCCAGUUCCUCGUUGACGUACGACGGAUCCUUAUAUGAACCUGGCCAUGUUAAAAGCCGCUGAGUACUUUUGAAUGUACUCGCAAGCAAACCAAACUAACAUAUACACUAAGCAAAGCAAUCCAUGGCAUUCAAGCAUGCAUUUGUUAUUAGAGCAAUAUUAAUCAUUAUGACAUAGCAUACUUAUCUAGCAAUAUUAUUUAUCAAGGUAUAACAGGAUUAUCCAACAAGAUAACUUCUAAAAUAAAUACGAUAAAGUAAAGCAUAUUAAGUAAAUGAUUUAUACUCCGAAUAUUCUUAUGGUCCUGUGUGAAUCCGAUGCAAAUCCAACCCAACUCAUGUGGUCAUCCGACCACUCAUCUCAUAGCCAUCCCAAGGCUAACAUAUCAUAUUCCUGACAUCAUCAGAUGUCUGCACAAGACGAGUUCUUCCAUCAUUAUUAUCACUGAUACGGUUGACCACCUAUUGAGGUCUGGUCGGGCUGUCCAAUACCGUGGACUUGGCUAUUCGAAUAGGUUUGACACUCUGCAGAGGUUGCACACUUUACCCACACCAUGGAGCACUCACCUUGUGAUCCCAUUCGGGUGGACCAGUGUUGCUCCAACGAAACCUGUCUGACCCAUGACUCUUUCAUCGUACCACCGGCAUUCAUCCUCCCCCAGAGUCCUGCCGUGUGUGGCCCUGUGUCCUCAUGACACCUGCCACCGUCGUGGCAAAACUAAAAUGUCCCAAACAAGGACGCCAGCACAAUACUCAACUGGCUCACAGGGUUAUCACCACCUACCGGGCCAAGGUAGCACGCGUGCAUAACCCUCCCUCUUUGGAGGUACUGAUGAAAGAGCACACAAUCAAACCAAAUCAAGGCCGUCCCAUAUCGGCAAAUGUGGUUGCAUUGAUGAGCCCGGACAGGUGACUCUAGAUCAACCGACUAGAUUUGGUUUUAGCAACAUAUUUAUCAAGCAUGGUUGUUCAUCAAGAGUAACUUAACAUGAUGAUAACUAUGUAUGAAACAGCAAUGGUAGAAACACCACAACCUAUCUCCUUAUCACCAUGAGUCAUUAAUACGACGGGGUGUAAAUGGCAAGUUAUUACUUUACAAGUUCUAGGUGUAAAUUAGACCCUCGGAACCCUUGUAUAACACUGGCAAAAAAAUCGGUAGCCACCAGAACGGUCUUUACAAGAAUAACUCAACCCUGGCUCAAGACGGCUGGAAAACAGCUCAGAGCAGGAGACGGUGUUGACAAGAAGAAUGUAGGAGUUCCCUAAGACGACCGAGGAACAGCUCAGAGCAUAGGGUCACUGCCACAGAAAGAAAUUCAAUAGCUGCCCGUGACGGCCGAAAGCAUCUCAGAAUAUGGUCCAGCUGCUGACAAGAGAAAUAUAAAGUCGGCAUCCACCCCGGAGGGCCCAAAGCAGCUCAGACUUAGGCGUGGUGCCUCAUUGAAGAAAGUGCGAGCAAGGGUUCGUCAGCAUCUCAUACAGCUCACUACUAUGCAUACAGACAUAAGCAUUUUAGUUUGAGUAUGCAAGAAUUUCACAGAGCAAAGUUUGAGGGCAUAUAUUAGAUGGUCGGCUUGCGUGGGGUUGAAGAAUACUCCCGGAAGAAGUGCGGAGAGUCCGCGGAACGAGAUGCCGGAACGGUUCUCUCUUGGAGAGGGCUGAUACAAGGGCAAGGGCAACAGGCUCAUUUUCAGAAUGUGAACACAUAAUUAAAAUGAUACCAACAUGAAGGGCUCGACGAGACGAAGAUGUGGGCUUUGGAAUCACCUCAAUCGGAGACCGGAGCAAAAAGAUAUAAACGUUCGAAGAAGAAGGACCAAUCUGCAAUUAAAAUAAUUGCCAUCGGGUCCGUUGGCGCCUUCUGAGAUAUAUGUUUCCCAGAGGGGGAAACGCACCGGGCGCCUAGCGCCUCCACUUAUCCAGCUGGACCGGCCCUUAGUCGUUGACACGCGGGUUCCACCCCAUCCUCUCUCUCCUCCCGUUCUCUUUCUUCUUUCCCUCGACACGAGCAGGGGAGGCGAGCAGAGGUGCGGUCGGCGUCGGGCUCCGGCGACUCGGGCGGACUCCGGCAAGGGCGAGGCCAUGGACGGGUGCGCUGGCGAGCGCCGCGUCCGUUGGGGAGUCACACGGGCAGCAGGGGGCCUGUGGGCUCGGCGACGUGCAGCGGCACAGGCUCGCCUUCGACGCAACUCCGUCGACCUAGGGGUCCUCUGGAGCGGCCGAAUGGGUUGGCAGACUCACCAGGGGAUGGCGCGUCCGCGGAAAUGCUCGGACGGAGCCAGGGACAGCCGGACUUGGGGAUUGGAGGCGGAGGCCGGCGGCCAUGGCGGCGAAGAGAGCUUGGGGCGCUCGGAUAAAGCGGUGGAUGGGG